GGAGACAGAGGGGACUCAGCGUCUGACAGCAAGCCUGGCCCCUGCUCAGGCCUCAAGAGUCCUGCUCAGCGACCCAGUGCUCCCUCCGCCUGCCUGACUUCGGUGCCCUCCGGGGUGCCUCAGGUGGCCCUCUCCCCAGAUGAGCCCCUCUCACGGUGCCCAGCAGGGAAAAGAGCGGUGACCCAAUAAACAGGGUAGGGAAAUUGGGGAGGCUGGCAAGGGCAUGACCACCAGGAGAAGUGCCAGGAGAUUAGCCCCUGGGGUCAGAGCUCCUCUCUCUCCCCAAACCCCCUGAGGCAUGGAAGCCCAGAAACACCGAUUUAGAAAAGAUCUGGAGGCCACGUGUCCAAGCCUCUCCAUCCUGCCUGGCUCACUACGGUGUGUCCACACGGGCACCCAAAUGCUGCCCCCAGAACAGAACGGAACACACCAGAUGUGGCCCCACCCCCAGCAACAGUGAUGGCCACACUCCUUCCAGUGGCUACGGGCUUUCCAGUCUACGGACUGCUUCCAGGAAAGGAAUGAGUGGGAUGGCAAAUAGAAGGACCGCGAUGGCCCCCAGCAGGAGACGUGUGGUGGUGUCUGAGGAGAGAAAGAAGGGGUUCAGUACGCGGCCACCCACCCCACUGCCAAGCCCCACCGCCAAGCCCCAGGUCCCGACGCCAGAGAACUCUGGCCUGGGCCCAGCAGGCUGAGUUUUCACAAGCCCUCCGCGGGAAUCUGCUGCUCGCUGAAGUCCCAGAGCCGCCGUUCUGGAGCCCAGAUGCUCCAUCACCCUCACACCCAGAGCCCAGAAGAGACUCGCUGCUGACCUCUCUGAGUUGUCAGAGCCACAGUCUGACAGGUACUUGGCUAAGCAAGGGCUGCACAGCCCUCGGCCCCCAGACCUGGCAGACCCGUCAUCCCAUCACGGGUGUUUCUCAGUGUCAGUCGACUGGGCUCAUUCCGUGGACUUCAGUUUGGAGUGGGGAGCCGACUCAAGCAACACCCCGGAGAGACCACGCCUGGUCCCUGAGCUCCCCUCUUCUGACAGGAGAUGGGGGUGCCAAGGGAACACCCAGCAGACCAUCAGAGCACCAGUGGAGGGGAACGCCCUGGACUCGGACCCCAGAUACUAAAACUACUGUAGAAAAAGCCCACAGGCCUCAGAAGCUGAGCCUCUGAGGACCACAGGCAUCAAGGGUUCCCAGUGAUGCCUGUGAUCCAUCGUCUUCCAUCAGCCCCUUCUCAGGCCAGAAGUUCCCGAGUGAGAGACCACCAGGCCUCAUUCACCACAAGGCUGGAUGCCCUGGGUACCAGCUCCGAGAGUGACAAGGCAACUAUGUUUAGCAUUUCCUGAUGGAACCAGAAUCUGCAGUCAAGAAAAGCUGGUCCUGGCCAAAAGAUGGACUUUUGGAUGAGAAUGAUGUCUUCAAUAAUAAUCCUGCCAAAAACCACUGCCUCAUGCAUUAGCCUUCUCCCUAGAGGGUAAUAGGAACCAGCAAGUGAUAGAAAACUCAACUUGUACAGGCUGGGGAGAAAAACCAAAUCUGAUUUUGUGUUUUGUUCCUACAAGAACAGAAGUAAACACUUUAUUACCAAACGAAUACAUAGGAUGUUUUCAUGCAAGCAAUGUAUACAUUUUAAAAAUAACUUUUCUUUAGACUUUGGUAUACAGUAUGUGCUCCUAAGCAUU